CUUCAGUUCAAUAGUCUGUGUUCCUGGAGUUUAUUCCAGGUCUUUCGAACGGUAUGAGGUCUUGCAUUUGUUUGCUGCAGAAGAGCUCGUUUUUUGUUAACCAAU